CCUACGGGAGGCAGCAGUUAGGAAUCUUCCACAAUGGGCGAAAGCCUGAUGGAGCGACACUGCGUGAGGGAUGACGGCCUUCGGGUUGUAAACCUCUAAAACGGGGACGAACAAUGACGGUACCCGUUGAGAAGCACCGGCUAACUCCGUGCCAGCAGCCGCGGUAAU
rnacentral:rRNA from 1 species